GUUGUCGUUGUCGACGACAUUAAACGAUUCUGCAUAGGUACAUACAUUUGGGCUGCCUUGCCUGGCUGGCUGGCUGGCUGGCUGGCUGCCUGCCUGCCUGCGUGCCUUGUGUACUGCGGCAGCAAGAAGAACAAGCAGCUACACAGCAAUACACAGUUGAGUCGAGUCAAAAAGCAACCACUACACAGGCCAGCAGAAACUUCGUGCAUGUCUGUAUGUAAGCAGUUGCCACUAGGCGUACGGGCCGGCAGCAGAUAUAACGCAAACACACUUUCACAUACAUUUAGUUAUGCAAACAUACGAACAUGUACGUGCUGACAACCAGCGUCUAUAGCGACUAUAGAGGAGAAGUGACAUACUAUACUAAUACAUAUUUACAUGUAGAGAGGCCAUCAAGACAAGAGCAGCAGCGUCGAUAUUAGUAGUGGCAGCUGCAACAACAGCACCGGCAAAGCAAAAGUAUAGCUGACAUGGUUGUGCGAUAUAGCUGGCCUGCCUUUGGCUGCUUUUAAUAUGGCUGCCAUACGAACGAGCUAACGAACCAGCAAGCCGGUGAACUAACGAACGGCCAUACGAAUACGGCAAACAAAUUUACAUAGAUGUACGUCUGUAUGUAAACGUACAUUUGUAGCGCUGCUGACUGAUUUCGAUAUAAGUACAUAUUUCAACUCAAUUCAACUCGUGGUAAAGGCGAUUGUAGAGCAAAGCACCACUGCUAAAUCGAAAUGGCGAACCGGCUGGCUGACUGACUGACUGACUGGCGGUCUCGCCGAGCGUCUGAUGCACCGAACAACCCGACAAAUUGACAUUGUGACUGCUUUGACUGGCUUGUUGGCUGUACUCUACGACUGGUGUAGAUACAAGCAAGCAGGCAGGCAGGCAGGCAGUGCCAGUAAAGUAAGUAGAUUUCGCUCGAUCGUAUACAAAAACGGUUGAUUCGUGGUGUGAGAAAUGGUAGUCAUUUGAGGGGCACUAUGUGAAUUUUGGCGGGGUACUGGAUUGCAGUGGUGGGGCAAGGCGGCGGCAUGAGUUAACGAACAAAUAUGUGCGCCAGCGAGCAGGCUGGUUAAUAUUAAUAACAACAACAAUAACCAUUGCAAACAACAACAGUUUAACAUAAAAAACAACAAACAACAACGCAUACAGCUGUCGUAUAAUCAGCCGCCACAGUACAGUACUGUGCUACAGCAAUGAGCUGACUGAAGCAAAGAUAGCAACAAUAAAAAACACAGGCACAUUUUGCACAAAGCUCACAAAUACCUAUCUACAUAUGUACAUAUAUACAUAUAUAGCAUACACUAUACAUAUCUACAUGUAUUAUAUAGAAUCGAAUGAGACGAAGCGUUCGACGACCGCCUAUCUACCCUCACGCGGCAAAUGUCCCACAGCGUCGUCGUGCAAAUAAUGCUCUGUACCGAAAACUCAGCAAGCAGCUGUCGACUCAUUGACAAAACGAACGAAUAAACACCACAUACAUGUACGUAUAUACUUAGUUAUGCUCACGAAUGGGUGGCGUUUUGGCUCUGCAUGAGAAAAAUAUACAUAUAUUUCUAUACGUCGUUGCUCUUGCAGUGCGUUGCGCGUUCGUCGUUAGCUGUUGACGUUUAUCACACUGGUGGCGUGCAUAUUAAGCUAACAUUUUCGUAUGAAAAUCGGCCAUUGCACUGUGUGUCGUUCAUAUGAAAUGCUUGGUGAGUUUUUUUUUGACACCGUUCCAAUAUCCUGACACGUUAGUGUACAAUCGUUUUUUGAGUCGCCGAUAUAUUUUAGGCAACCAAGUAAACAACCAGACAGUCGACUACCAGAUAGGUAAGUAGCCAGUUAGUCAGCCAUCGCGGGAAAAUCUCUACCAGCGCAUGCAUUCAUGUUCAUAGUAUGUACUACAGCAUACAGUACUAGGUAUGUGGGAAUGUGGAGAAGUACGCAUGCACAUGAGAUUGUUUAUUAGUUGCCGGCAUCGGUACCGGUAGUUCGAGCGCAGCACAUGCUAAUGAUUUUAUACCGGCUAAGCGCGCAUUACUCAGCAUAUCCAUCGAAUGGACUGGCCGACAUGUGGAAUUUAAAGUCUUUGGCUUGUGAGGUUUAUGAGUAUUAUAUUCAGGAAAUUUGUGUCACAAACGCUUAGUGGCGUGUGUUUUUUAAGUGCAUUAAUAGCUUUAAGUAAUUGCAUGAAGAUUUGUUAUUUUUUAACAUUAGUGCUAACGGAAAUCGAUUAAAUUAGUCCAUAAUAUGCACAUAUGUACAUAUGUAAGUACAUACUAUGUGAGUUAAUAUUCGGUAGUGUAAACCUUUACGGCGGAAUGUAAGAUUCUAGUUUUUCUUAAAUAUAUGGUUUUGUUUUGAUCAAAUUUGAUUAUACUUUAUGUGUUUAUAAUAUCUACUUACUUAUAUGUUACUUUUGUAAUAUUCACAUAUCUUUUGGUUUAUUUUACACGAUAUUCCUGCUAUUGGUGGCAGCUUUUUGAUGCUAUCCGGCAAAUGGAUAUGGAUCUAUUGUGCGACUGUUGAGUUUAUUGCAAGUUUUUCUUGUUAAAAUAUACUUCAAGAUUACCGACCGCUGAAGUGCCUAUCUUGCUGGGGAAAAACACUUUUAUCUUCAAUUUUAGAUUAUGUUCCUAUUAGGAAAAAGACAUAAUCUGCAAUUUUGGUUUAUGCUUCAGACCGAAUGUUGUCACCCUGUUAGAACUGGCCUAGAUUUUAUGCGCUAAAGGGUUAUUAUUUCGCCGAUCCAACCCGACCAAGAUUUUAUACGCUCAAUCCAACCCGAUUUGGUUUGGUAAGUAGUAAGUUAAGUUUUUAACCUCACCAUGUACAUACAUAUGUAUGUAUGUAUAUGAAUAUAACAGUGAGGUGCUACAAGGCCAUCGGCUAUAAAGCCAUAUGGCUUUAUUUCCCAACAAGAGGGGAUGGCCUUAUAGCAUCCCACCGAAUAUAACAGCUCAUAUCGUUACAUUCAAUUUUUUUACGGAAUAUCAACAGAGCUCUAACAACUUUUCGGGACAUCAAAAAUAUACAUAUGUACAUACUAUAGAUAUGUAUACAAAUUUGUAAAUAUGACACAAUAAAUAUUUUUCACGCAAUUACUUAUGAAAUAUUUAAUUACAUGAUUGAAUAUAAAAUAAAUAAAUACAGCAAAUAAAAUGUCAAUAUAAACUAGAA